rnacentral:rRNA from 1 species
UACGUAGGGGGCAAGCGUUGUCCGGAUUUAUUGGGCGUAAAGAGCUCGUAGGUGGUUUGGUAAGUCGGAUGUGAAAUCUCCAGGCUCAACCUGGAGGGGUCAUUCGAUACUGCCAUGACUAGAGGUCGGUAGGGGAGUGUGGAAUUCCUAGUGGAGCGGUGAAAUGCGUAGAUAUCGGGAGGAACACCAGUGGCGAAGGCGACUUCCUGGCCUGUUCUUGACGCUGAGGCGCGAAAGCUAGGGUAGCAAACGGG